UGUGCUCCAUAAGCAUACACAACAUUCCAGCUCAAUUUUGCUCUAAAAUGCUCCAUUUCGCACUUAUUUGCAUCCUUUGUCUCUAAACCUGAAAUUGCAUGAAACUGACUUUAAACAUUGAAAUAACUCAAGAAAAACAACAUAAAUGCAUGAGAACAAGCCCACUAAGUCGCAUAAAUAUGCUCCUAUCAGGCUCCCAUUAUCACACCUCCAGAUUGGAGCCUUCCAUUCGAGUUGAUGUGCGAUGCUUCGGACUAUGCGAUUGGUGCUGUUUUGGGGCAGCGAAAGAACAAACAACCUCAUGUUAUUUAUUAUGCAUCUAGGACACUAAAUGAUGCUCAAUUAAAUUACUCAACCACUAAAAAAGAAUUACUUGCUGUGGUAUUUGCAUUAGAUAAGUUCCGAUCAUACUUACUUGGUACUAAAGUUAUUGUUUUUACUGAUCAUGCAGCUCUCAAGUAUUUGCUCACGAAAAAGGAGGCCAAGCCUAGACUAAUUCAUUGGAUGUUGCUUCUACAAGAGUUUGACAUUGAGAUUCGGGAUAAGAAGGGCGUGGAGAAUGUGGUGGCUGACCACCUAAGUCGAAUGGUGCAUGAGAAAGCAUCGCCAAUUUCUGAAACCUUCCCCGAUGAGCAACUAAUGUCUAUCCAGGUAAGUGAGCCUUGGUAUGCAGAUUUAGUGAACUUUUUGGUGUCUAAACAUAUCCCUAGCACACUUAAUAGGAAUCAACAUGAUAAGCUUAAAAAGGAUGCUAGGUUUUAUGUUUGGGAUGAUCCAUACCUUUGGAAAUUUUGUCCCGAUCAGAUUGUACGACGUUGUGUGAAUGAAUCUGAGUUUCAAUCUAUUUUAACAUUCUGUCAUUCAUAUGCAUGUGGGGGACAUUUUGGCACCCAACGCACUGCCCUAAAAGUCUUAGAAUGUGGGUUUUAUUGGCCAACCAUUUUUAGGGAUGCUAGGACAUUUUGCCUUACAUGUGAUCGUUGUCAACAAAUGGGUAAUGUAAGUGCUAAGGAUCAAACGCCACAAAACCCUAUACUUUCUGUUGAAAUAUUUGAUGUGUGGGGAAUUGAUUUUAUGGGUCAUUUUCCUUCCUCACAUGGUUUUCUCUAUAUCUUGUUGGCGGUGGAUGCUAAUCCUCGAGCAAAACAAAGAAACAAAAGAAAAACAAAACGAAACAAAACAAACAAAAACAACCUAAACCUUCCAACGUUUGCCUCAUGGAUUUCCAAUGCACAUGAAAUAUUAAAAAUCAUCAUUCCCACAGAUUUUAGCCAUCUUUACACUUAAGCACAUACUUAAUUAUAGUCACCACUUACUAGUUCACAUUUAACCAAUUAAAACAAUGAUUUUGAAUGUAGUAACAUGCCUUAGAGAAUUUGCUCAAUUCCUUACUAAGAUAUGCACUCAAUUUUCACACAGAUUUUCUGAACUACACACCCUAUACUAGUUAUAUGUGAGAAGAUUGAUGUAAAAUAUGAAAACGAAUGCUCACAUAUGUUUAUAACAAAGAAAGCAAUUUUUCUGGAUUUAAUAAGCAUGUUUAGAUAUGAUCUCAUGAAUGGAAUGCUACUACUUAGAUGCGAGAACCAGUGACACCAUAUGCUCAUACCAAUUUCAAACUCCACAAAUUGAAAUACACAAACACUCAAGAUAGAAGUUAAGGGUUGUAACGGGGCUUGGGGUAUUGGCUAACAAAGAAAGGAUAAGGGUAAACAAACGUUCUUAAAGCAAUAGUAAGCAAAGCAAUGAAAUUGACACUUAGAAUUCACUUUAGAAUGCAAAAAUCAACUUUUAAACACAAAGGGGAAGAUUCAUGCAACACUUAGGGUCAAAUUCAACUGUUUUGGACCCUUUCUUUCAACAACCAACACUUUAGAGCUCUUUUCAUGCUCUUUCAACUCUUUUUCACACUUUUCACAUUUUUUUUUUCUUUUCUUUUUCUUUUCUACCCCAUGCCUCAUUUAAAAGACUUUGGCACACAUAACACAAGGCUCACUUCCCCCACACUUGUUUUCUGCACACAUUGAAUCAAAAGGAAUUCAUUUUAAAGUCAUGCUUUACUAUGCUUUAAGAACAAGGGUAUGGAUGGUCCUAAUCUAGGCUAGGUAAGGAUAAUGUGGGUUAACAAAGAAUAUAGGCUAAACAAGGCUCAACGGGGUUAAAAACCUACAAAAACAAUGUAUGGAAUGAAGGCUUUUUGGCUAUGGUGGUACUACUAAACAACUUCAUCUUGAAUAUGUGUUAUGCAAAUCAAUGAAAUGCUUUUGAAUGAAAUGGGCAUGAGUUCUAGCAUUUGGAACUAAAUGAUGAAACGCCUUCUAAGUAAUAACCAAGCAAAGAAUAAUGAGAUCAUGCAACGACUUUAGAAAACAAAGAAUGCACAGAUUUUAACUCUCCAAAUAAACGUUUAGGCUCAAGUCUCACAAGGUUGUAAGCGUUAGUUUGAGUUCCUUCCUUCAAGCAUGUUACAAAAACUAAUUUUUUUCUUUAUGAUUACAUGUGAAUUCAUAAGUUAUAACCACAACCAAGCAUAAACCAAAGAGUAAAUC
rnacentral:lncRNA from 1 species